UACAGAGGGUGCAAGCGUUAAUCGGAAUUACUGGGCGUAAAGCGCACGUAGGCGGUUUUUUAAGUCAGAUGUGAAAGCCCCGGGCUCAACCUGGGAAUUGCAUUUGAAACUGGAAAACUAGAGUGUGUGAGAGGGGGGUAGAAUUCCAAGUGUAGCGGUGAAAUGCGUAGAGAUUUGGAGGAAUACCAGUGGCGAAGGCGGCCCCUGGCGACAACACUGACGCUCAUGCACGAAAGACGUGGGGA
rnacentral:rRNA from 1 species